CGGCUCUGCACUUGUGAAUUUUCUUAUUGAGUGAUAGAAAUUAUGGCGGAAUCAGGAUAUGAUAUUAAUGAUUUGGUUCAAGAAGCCCAAAUUAGGUGGUUGAAACCCGCUGAAGUUCUCUUUAUACUGCGAAAUCAUGAGAACCACCAGCUCUCCAGUGAGCCAUCUCAAAAGCCACCCAGCGGAUCAUUGUUUCUCUACAACAAGAGAGUCCUCAGGUUUUUCCGUAAAG
rnacentral:misc_RNA from 1 species